rnacentral:rRNA from 1 species
GACUCGUAGCGGAGGACUCAUCAGUCAGCGGAGGACCAUAUCAAUUAUACGGAGGAUGCUUUGGUGGGCCCAGGAGGGCCACCUGGUCGCCAGGGGACAUCUGUCCCCGGGCCCGCGCCCGCCGAAGCGCUCUGUGAACCCUGAUGAAGAUGGGCUGUCUGAGUACUAUGAAAAUUGUCAAAACUUUCAACAAUGGAUCUCUUGGUUCCGGCAUCGAUGAAGAACGCAGCGAAAUGCGAUAAGUAAUGUGAAUUGCAGAAUUCCGUGAAUCAUCGAAUCUUUGAACGCACAUUGCGCCCCCUGGCAUUCCGGGGGGCAUGCCUGUCCGAGCGUCAUUUCUGCCCUCAAGCACGGCUUGUGUGUUGGGUGCGGUCCCCCCGGGGACCUGCCCGAAAGGCAGCGGCGACGUCCGUCUGGUCCUCGAGCGUAUGGGGCUUUGUCACUCGCUCGGGAAGGACUGGCGGGGGUUGGUCACCACCAAAAUUUUUACCACGGUUGACCUCGGAUCAGGUAGGAGUUACCCGCUGAACUUAAGCAUAUCAAUAAGCGGAGGAA